CCACAGGUGAAUAUAGCUGUCAGUGCGUACCAUGCCCUACAGAAUGAUGAACAUAAUAGUGCGCUGAAGGAUGUCUUUGUUCGUGACUAGCUAUCGACGAGAGAACCGAGGGAUGAAGCAGCCGGUUGUUCACACCUGUGACAUCCAAUCAGACCCAGCAGAGCUUCUGCCUGAGCUCAGGGUGCGUUGAGGAGGGGAAUGGGGCCAUAUGGACAGUCUCCCAACAGAUGUUUGUGGACUCAGCGAGACUCAUGUUUGUGGACUCACGUUUGUGGACUCGCUGAUAUUCAUGUUUGUGGACUGACCGAGACUCACCGAGACUCAUGUUUGUGGACUCACUGAGACUCAUGUUUACUCAUGUUUGUGGACUCAUGUUUGUGGACUCACUGAGACUCAUGUUUGUGGACUCACCGAGACUCACAAUCCAACACACUCAAAUCUGAGAAGCGUGUUUGGAUGGAACUCAGGUGCGUGCGAAAAAAACAGGAAAUAUUCCGACUUGAACGAGGUCUCAAGAACAAGUGCAGUUUCAAUAUCUAAACAUGCGCACAAUAUGCUCUGUGUGUGUGUGUGCACAAUCAAAGAAAAAUGCAUUGUUUACAUGGUUUACAAGCACUGUAGUUCUGGCAGCACGGAGUGCGGCAAUCAUUCGGUAGUACACACACACACUCACUCACACACACACACACACACACACACAAGUCAUCCAAAUGAAUCAAAAUCAAGGGCAUGAUUUGGAGUAUAUUCCUUCCAUCCUCCCAGUGUGUGUGUGUGUGUGUGUGUGUGUGUGUGUGUGUGUGUGUGUCACUGGUAAUGGGAGAAGUGUGGUGCAGCACAUUGACUUAUUUCUAGGCUAUAGGGGUAUUGGUAAACAGACAAACAUCCUUACUCGUGCAGCGUGACAGCUUGAUUGGUGGGAGGCAGAGUUUGGAUUUCACCGGCCAUCUGCUAUGACCUCGUUAAGCGUUGCUAUAGAAACACUCUGAGACAUUCUGAGAGAGUCUGGCCAGUCUACUCUGGCGGGUACGAGGAGGAGAAGCACACUUACCUCAGUGCCAUCUCUCCAAGCACACGAGAGGAAGAGGGCUGUGUCAGCAGUGUUAUGUGUGUGUGUGUGUGUGUGUGUGAUGUGUGUGUGUGUGUGUGUAAUGUGUGAUACAGGGGGCAGAAGGCUGGUGAAUAUUGAUGGGCGGAGAGAGAGGGACGCUGUCCCUGACAGACCGGUGUGUGUGUGUGUGUGUGUGUGUGUGUGUGUGUGUGUGUGUGUGUGACGCUGUCCCUUACAGACCGGUGUGUGUGUGUGUGUGUGUGUGUGUGUGUGUGUGUGUGUGUGUGUGUGUGUGUGUGUGAGACGCUGUCCCUGACAGACCGGUGUGUGUGUGUGUGUGUGUGUGUGUGAGACGCUGUCCCUGACAGACCGGUGUGUGUGUGUGUGUGUGUGUGUGUGUGUGUGUGUGUGUGACGCUGUCCCUGAGAGGCCGUGGUUAAAACAGGCAGGACAGGUCAGUGGAGAGGAAACAGAUAGAUGACAGUGUGGCUGACCAGCUGAAAAGUGAGAAGACGGCAUAUUGACUGGUGGUGGAUCAAUGCCCGGAGACUGAAGUGAAGUGUGUGUGUGUGUGUGUGUGUGUGUGUGUGUGUGUGUGUGUGUGAGUGUGUGUGUGAGUGUGUGUGUGUGUGUGUGUGUGUGUGUGUGUGUGCCCCCACCGCACCAGGUGCUCUCCAAAUGGCAAUAUUUGUAGCUCAGUUUAAAAGCUACACGACGUACCGUUCUGAAAAUCUACUAAAACAUGUCAUUGCCCAUCUGUGUUACAGCUUUGUCAUAUUAC
ensembl:lncRNA